rnacentral:rRNA from 1 species
UACGAAGGGGGCUAGCGUUGCUCGGAAUCACUGGGCGUAAAGCGCACGUAGGCGGACUCUUAAGUCAGGGGUGAAAUCCUGGAGCUCAACUCCAGAACUGCCUUUGAUACUGGGAAUCUCGAGUCCGGGAGAGGUGAGUGGAACUGCGAGUGUAGAGGUGAAAUUCGUAGAUAUUCGCAAGAACACCAGUGGCGAAGGCGGCUCACUGGCCCGGUACUGACGCUGAGGUGCGAAAGCGUGGGGAGCAAACAGG